ACACCCACUAAAUUGUUGGAACAAAGAUCGCAUAGGAAUAUGAUUAUGAUUAAAAUCUAACUAACUUUGUGAUAAAAAUAAAAACAAACAAACAUACAGAUAAACGCAAAUAAAUUAACUCACAGAUGAUCGCUAAAUUCCAAAAUUGUGGAAAAAGAAUAUCAACAUAUUAAUCCGGAAGCGUGCGAGGCACUGCCCUAAGGUGUAUUCCCGUCCUUACGUGCGUGAUUAACCGAANGAAAUAACACCCCAAGGUACGACCGGAAUUCCUCAUUCUGCGAGCAUGAUCGUGAAGGAGGUUGAUGGAGAUUCUCAACACCCAGUAGAUAAGAAGAAUAUUCAAAUAAUAAAAGAUAAGAGAUGAAUAGAUAAAGAUUAACAAAAUUAUCUAAAUCUCAUUUUUCAAUAAGGAGGAAAAAAAAAGAGAUUAAAGUAUCGAAGAAAGGGAAAGAGAAUUCACGCUCUUUUUCUUACGAGAAAGAAGCAGAACCGCACAACGGAACGAGUUCCUUUUGGCGCAAGAAACGGAACGGAAAUAUCCCGUUAGUUCCUUUCUCACUAAGAAAUUAAAUAAAUAAAUAAAUAAGAUAAUAAAUAUCAAUGAAUAUUAAAUGAUAAUUCAAAAUUCAAAUAGAAUAAAAUUCAAACUUUAAAUUUUUGAGUUUUCACCAACA
rnacentral:lncRNA from 1 species